GUGGGGAAUAUUGCGCAAUGGGCGAAAGCCUGACGCAGCGACGCCGCGUGAGGGAUGAAGGUUCUCGGAUCGUAAACCUCUGUCAGGGGGGAAGAAACCCCCUCGUGUGAAUAAUGCGAGGGCUUGACGGUACCCCCAAAGGAAGCACCGGCUAACUCCGUGCCAGCAGCCGCGGUAAUACGGAGGGUGCAAGCGUUAAUCGGAAUCACUGGGCGUAAAGCGCACGUAGGCGGCUUGGUAAGUCAGGGGUGAAAUCCCACAGCCCAACUGUGGAACUGCCUUUGAUACUGCCAGGCUUGAGUACCGGAGAGGGUGGCGGAAUUCCAGGUGUAGGAGUGAAAUCCGUAGAUAUCUGGAGGAACACCGGUGGCGAAGGCGGCCACCUGGACGGUAACUGACGCUGAGGUGCGAAAGCGUGGGUAGCAAACAGGA
rnacentral:rRNA from 1 species